rnacentral:rRNA from 1 species
UGGGGAAUAUUGGACAAUGGGCGAAAGCCUGAUCCAGCCAUGCCGCGUGUGUGAAGAAGGUCUUCGGAUUGUAAAGCACUUUAAGUUGGGAGGAAGGGCAGUAAGCGAAUACCUUGCUGUUUUGACGUUACCGACAGAAUAAGCACCGGCUAACUCUGUGCCAGCAGCCGCGGUAAUACAGUGGGUGCAAGCGUUCAUCGGAAUUACUGGGCGUAAAGCGCGCGUAGGUGGUUCGUUAAGUUGAAUGUGAAAGCCCCGGGCUCAACCUGGGAACUGCAUCCAAAACUGGCGAGCUAGAGUAGGGCAGAGGGGGGUGGAAUUUCCUGUGUGGCGGUGAAAUGCGUAGAUAUAGGAAGGAACACCAGUGGCGAAGGCGACCACCUGGGCUCAUACUGACACUGAGGUGCGAAAGCGUGGGGAGCAAACAGG